rnacentral:rRNA from 1 species
CCUACGGGUGGCAGCAGUGAGGAAUAUUGGUCAAUGGGCUUACGCCUGAACCAGCCAAGUCGCGUGAGGGAAGACUGCCCUAUGGGUUGUAAACCUCUUUUGUCAGGGAGCAACGCCGGCUACGUGUAGCCGGACUGAGAGUACCUGAAGAAAAAGCAUCGGCUAACUCCGUGCCAGCAGCCGCGGUAAUACGGAGGAUGCGAGCGUUAUCCGGAUUUAUUGGGUUUAAAGGGUGCGUAGGCGGAAUGCCAAGUCAGCGGUAAAAUCGCGGGGCUCAACCUCGCUCCGCCGUUGAAACUGGCGUUCUUGAGUGGGCGAGAAGUAUGCGGAAUGCGUGGUGUAGCGGUGAAAUGCAUAGAUAUCAGGAGGAACACCGGUGGCGAAGGCGGCUUACUGGACAGUGACUGACGUUGAGGCUCGAAAGCGUGGGGAGCGAACAGGAUUAGAUACCCCAGUAGUC